GACGAACGCUGGCGGCGUGCUUAACACAUGCAAGUCGAACGGAAAGGCCCUGCUUUUGUGGGGUGCUCGAGUGGCGAACGGGUGAGUAACACGUGAGUAACCUGCCCUUGACUUUGGGAUAACUUCAGGAAACUGGGGCUAAUACCGGAUAGGAGCUCCUGCUGCAUGGUGGGGGUUGGAAAGUUUCGGCGGUUGGGGAUGGACUCGCGGCUUAUCAGCUUGUUGGUGGGGUAGUGGCUUACCAAGGCUUUGACGGGUAGCCGGCCUGAGAGGGUGACCGGCCACAUUGGUACUGAAAUACGGCCCAGAAUCCUACGGGAGGCAGCAGUGGGGAAUAUUGCACAAUGGGCGGAAGCCUGAUGCAGCAACGCCGCGUGCGGGAUGACGGCCUUCGGGUUGUAAACCGCCUUCGCCUGUGACGAAGCGUGAGUGACGGUAAUGGGUAAAGAAGCACCGGCUAACUACGUG
rnacentral:rRNA from 1 species